rnacentral:rRNA from 1 species
UACGUAGGGGGCGAGCGUUGUCCGGAUUUAUUGGGCGUAAAGGGCGUGUAGGCGGUCCUUUAAGUCAGGGGUGAAACCCCGGGGCUCAACCCCGGGCCUGCCUCUGAAACUGAGGGACUUGAGUACUCUAGAGGGCAGUGGAAUUCCCGGUGUAGCAGUGAAAUGCGUAGAGAUCGGCAGGAACACCAGUGGCGAAGGCGACUGCCUGGGGAGAAACUGACGCUGAGGCGCGAAAGCUGGGGGAGCAAACGGGAUUAGAAACCCCCGUAGUCC